rnacentral:tRNA from 1 species
GUAAGCGUAAUGAGGGGCAGAAUGACUUAAAAUCUGUCGGCGCAAGCCUUGUGGGUUCGAGUCCCACCACUCGCACCA